UGAAAAGCAGGUGUCUGAGGGUCUGGUUUGGAGUCAGCCGGAGUCUCUUGCUGACUGAGACUGUCCCAUUAGGGAUGCUGUUAGGUUUGGGCAAACCCUGAACGGCAACACAGACUCGGCCCAGUGUCCGCAUGUCCACGGUCGCCUCAGCUUCGUUCACAGCAGCCGCGGCCGCAGGCCCAGGUGUCCGUGAGGGGUGGGCCAGUGCAGACGCAGGGUGUUCACACACGCACGACGGGACACUACUCGGCGGGGAAGGAGAACGUGCAGCCGUUAGGGCCUCAGAUUCACACGUGUAAAUUACAGAAAAACAAAAUUCUGCCAGAAAAUUGUAUGGAAACUGUUCUCAAGUAUUUCCGCACAGCUGAGCAGAGGGAAAGAAGGCCCAGGAGGCACCCAGGUCGAUCACACCUGGUGUUAAAAAUCCUGAGGAACCCUGGCUGAUGACACAGCAGGUCUCCAGUGUCUGACUUUUAUCCAGGGCCUACAGGUACAUGCAACCUGCUCUGGGUAAAUGAAGGACACCGCGGCACCUGUUUCUUCUCGGUUCGUCAGUUACAUGUGUAUUCAAGCCGUAUGUGACACCGAUGGCAGCAGCAACUCCGGGACACCGUCUGAUGAAGCACAGCCCUCACCAGCACUGC
ensembl:lncRNA